rnacentral:ribozyme from 1 species
CGGUCCACAUCCCAACUCACAUAUUGUGAACUUAUUCCUAUUCAUACUCCCAGGAUUGCAGUUUUCGUUUUUUCUGAUUGAAGGGAAUAGAUCACCGGCAAGGAAACGUUCCUCUAGAAUUUUGGCAGCUACACGAGCGGAUGGCCAUACC